GCGACCUGGUCAAAUAAUAUUCUAAGUAUUUGGCUAAUUUGUCUGUUUUUAGGCAAUACCGAAAGGUAUUUCCUUUAACAGUUUUAGCCAAUUUAAAUACUGGAUAAAAUUGACAGUAACGAACCAUGGUGUUGAGCCACUUGAAAUUGUAUAUAUUUUUAUAAUAUGUAUAAUGGAAAGUGUCCUUGUGUGGCUGUUUGCAAGUGGGUUGGUUAUAUAGUUUUAGUCGGAUUUCGGUCCGUCUAGCUAUUCCGCCUACUGUUGGUAAACUGUUCCUUGGACAGUGCUUAUAACACCGGUCGGCAGCGAUUCAGGUUCAGGCUCUUAUCCGACCCGUCUUGAAACACGGACCAAGGAGUUUAGCGUGUACGCAAGUCAUUGGGUGUAUAAAACCCAAAGGCGCAAUGAAAUUGAAA
rnacentral:rRNA from 1 species